rnacentral:misc_RNA from 1 species
GUGAAUCAUCGAAUUUUUGAACGCAAAUUGCACUCUCUUCGGAGAGUACGCCUGUUUGUGGGUCAGCCUCAAAACAAUCGACAUAGUCGCUGUUUCGCGGUGACACGCGUCGGCACGUGGGUCCUAUUAAACCUUUGGGCUUUAAGCGGCUUAAAUUUUUCUUUACGAUUCCACGUACGUUUCUAAGAUUUACUCCUUCCACGUUUAAGGUCCUCGCUCUUUAUUAGACGUGG